GUUAUGUUAGACAACGCCUUAUAUUGUAUUUUCUCUAUUUCAAGUUAUGCUGAUUUGAAUAUUUGUGUAAUAAGUAGUGACUGUUUUGCAUUUGUUUUGUUUUGCGAGGACUAAUGACAUUGACUAUCGGGCCAAACUUCAACCACAAAUUAUUUAGUUUAUUUGACAAUGCUGUAAUGUUUAACUUUGUUUAUUUCAAUUAUGCUGAUGUUGAAUUUUUGAGUAAUGAGUACCUAGUGACUGUUUUUGCUUAUGUGUUGUGGCGUGACUGAUUCUAUUCCAAGUACUCCUCAAAUACAUAUCUCCACUCCUUAAAUAUUGAGGUACGUAACCAACAUUUGAAAUUUGAUAUUUCUUUUUGGACAAUAAUUAACUUGAGCUUGAAAUUCCCGGGUUCAAUUUCAUCUCAGUUUUUUUAAUUAGGUUAUGUCAGACAACCCUUAUAUUGUAUUUUCUCUAUUUCCAGUUAUGCUGAUUUGAAUAUUUGUGUAAAGUAGUGACUGUUUUGCAUUUGUUGUGUUUUGCGAGGACUAAUGCUUGACUAUCGGGCUAAACUUUCAACCACAAAUGUUUAGGUAUUAUUGGACAAUGUUUAUGUUGAACUUGGUUUAUUUCAGUUAUGCUGAUUUGAAUUUUUGAGUACUGAAUAGUGACUGUUUUGCAUUUAUUGUGUUUGUGCGAGAACUGAUGGCUAUUACCAAGUACUCCUCAAUACAUUCUCCACGCCUUUAAAUAUUGAGGUAGUAACAAACAUUUGAAAUUGUAAUAUUUUAUUUUGACCAUAAUUAACUUGAGCCUUAAAUUUCCCGGUUCCAAUUUCAAGCUCAGUUAAUUAGUUUUAUGUUAGACACGCCUUAUAUUGUAUUUUCUCUAUUUCAAGUUAUGCUGAUUUGAAUAUUUGUGUAAUAAGUAGUGACUGUUUUGCAUUUGUUUUGUUUUGCGAGGACUAAUGACAUUGACUAUCGGGCUAAACUUCAACCACAAAUUAUUUAGGUAUUAUUUGACAAUGCUUUAUGUUGAACUUUGUUUAUUUCAAGUUAUGCUGAUUUGAAUUUUUGAGUAAUGAGUAGUGACUGUUUUGCAUUUAUUGUGUUGUGCGUGAACUGAUGCUAUUACCAAGUACUCUCAAAUACAUAUCUCCACGCCUUUAAAUAUUGAGGUACGUAACAAACAUUUGAAAUUGUAUAUUUAUUUUGGACAAUAAUUAACUUGAGCCUUGAAAAUUCCGGGUUCAUUUCAAGCUCAAGUUAAUUAGGUUAUGUAGACAACGCCUAAUUGUAUUUUCUCUAUUUCCAUAUGCUGAUUUAAAUAUUUGUGUAAUAAGUAGUGACUGUUUUCAUUUGUUUUGUUUUGCGAGGACCUAAUGACAUUGACUAUCGGGCUAAACCUUCACCACAACUUAUUAGGUAAUUAUUGACAUGCUUUAUGUGGAACUUUGUUUAUUUCAAGUUAUGCUGAUUUGAAUUUUUGAGUAAUGAGUAUUGACUUUUGCAUUUAUUGUGUUGUGCUUGAAACUGAUGCUAUACCAAUACUCUCAAAUACAAUCUCCACUCCUUUAAAUAUUGAGGUACGUCACAACAUUUGAAUUGGUAUAUUUAAUUUUGGACAAUAAUUAACUUGACGCUUGAAAUUUCCCGGGUUUAAUUUCAGCUCAGUUUAAUUAGGUUAUUCAGACAACGCCUUAUAUUGUAUUUUCUCUAUUCAGUUAUGCUGAUUGAAUAUUUGGUGUAAUAAGUUUGACUGUUUUGCUUUUGUUUGUUUGUCGAGGACUAAUGACUUGACUAUCGGCUAAAUUUCAACCACAAAUUAUUUACGUAUUAUUGACAAUGCUUUAUGUUGAACUUUAUUUAUUCAGUUAUGCUAUUUGAAUUUUUGAGUAAUGAGUAGUGACUGUUUUGCAUUUAUUGUGGGUGUUCGUAACUGAGGCUAUUACCAAUACUCUCCAAUAGGCCUUUAAAUAUUGAGGUACGUAACAAACAUUUGAAAUUGUAUAUUUAUUUUGGACAAUAAUUAUUUGAUCUGAAAUUUCCCGGGUUCAUUUCAAACUCAGUUAAUUAGGUAAUGUAGACAACGCCUAUAUUGUAUUUUCUUCAUUUCAAGUUAUGCGGAUUUGAUAUUUGUGUAAUAGUAGUGACUAUUUGCAUUUGUUUUAUUUGCGAGGACUAAUGACAUUUACUUGGUGAUACUUCACCUCAAAUUAUUAGGGUAUUAUUGACAUGCUUUAUGUGUACUUUGUUUAUUUCAAGUUAUUGCUGAUUUGAAUUUUUGAGUAUGAGUCGUGACUGUUUUGGCAUUAUUGGGUUGUGCGAGAACUGAUGCUAUUACCAAGUACUCCUCAACUACAAUAUCUCCACGCCUUUAAAUUUGAGGUACGUAACAAACAUUUGAAAUGGUAUCUUUAUUUUGACAAUAAUUAACUUGAGCUUGAAAUUCCCGGGUUCAAUUUCAAGCUCAAGUUAAUUUAGUUUAUGUAGAUAACAUCCGUAUAUUGUAGGUUCUCUAUUUCAAGUUAGGCUGAUUGAAUAUUUGUGUAAUAAUUAGUGACUGUUUGGCAUUUGUUUUGUUUUGCUAGGACUAAUGACAUUUCUAUCGGGUACUUCAACACAAUAUUUAGGGAUUAUUUUGAAUAUCUUUAAUGUUGAACUUUAUUUAUUCCAAGUUGAUGCUGAUUUGAAUUUUUGAGUAAUGAGUAGUGACUGUUUUGCAUUAUUGUUUUUGUGCGUGAACUGAUGCUAUUACCAAGUACUCUCAAUACAUUCCCACGCCUUUAAAUAUUGAGGUACGUAACAACAUUUGAAUUGUAUAUUUAUUUUGGCACAAUAAUUAAUUUUAGUUGAAAUAUCCCGGGUUCAAUUUCAACUCAAGUUAAUUGGUUCAUGUUAUACAACGUCUUAUAUUGUAUUUUCUCUAUGUCAAGUUAUGCUGAUUUUAAUAUUUUUGUAGAAGUAGUGACUGUUUUUGCUUUGUUUGUUUUGCGAUGACUAAUGACAUUGACUUUCGUGCUAAAAUUCAAUUCACUCACGAAAUUAUUUAGGGAUUAUUUGACCUGCUUUAUGUUGGUACUUUAUUUAUUCAAGUUAUGCUGAUUUGAAUUCUUUGGGUAAUGAUUCGUGACUGUUUUGCAUUUAAUUGUUUUGUUGCGAGAACUGAUGCUAUUACCAGUCCUCUCAAAUACAUAUCCCACGCCUUUAAAUAGUGAGGUUACGGUAACACAUUUGAAAAAUGUAUAUUUAGUUUGGACAAUAAUUAACUGAGCUUGACAUUUUCCAGGGUGCAAUUUCAAGCUCAAUUUAAUUAGGUUUAUGUUAAGACAACGCCUUAUAUUGUAUUUGUCCCCUCUAUUUCAAGUUAUGCUGAUUUGAAUAUUGGUGUAAUAAUUAGUGACUGUGGUUUUGCAUUUGUUUUGUGUUUGGCGAGGAGACGCAUGACAUUACUAUCGGCUAAACUUCGACCACAAAUUAUGUAGAGGUUACAUUUAACAGUUCCUUUAUGUUGAACUUUGUUUAUUUCAAGUUAUCAUUUGAAUUUUUGAUGUAAUGAUCGUGACUGUCUUUUGCAUUAUUGUGUUGUGCGAGAACUGAUGCUAUUACCAAGUCACUCUCAAAGACAUAUUCCACGCCUUUAUAUGAGGUCCGUAACAAACAUUUGAAAUUGUAUAUUUAUUUUGUACAAUAAUUAACUUGAGCUUGAAAUUUCCCGGGUUCAAUUUCA
rnacentral:lncRNA from 1 species